AUCCACAGUUAGGGUUCCAUGGACAUUUGUUUAUAAAAAAAAUGACUACGAUGUAAAACAAAGGAAAAGUGUUAAGUGAUGCUUGCAUAUUGAAUCCUAAUAUAGAAAACCAACAAUCAUAAUUUGAAGUGGGAAAAUACUGCCACUAAGGCCAGAUAAGAUAAGGCUUUUGACUUAAAAUACAUUCAAGCUUGUAAACCAUCUAUUGAUACAAUCAAAGACCUAGAGUUAAGUUAAAUCAGAAAUAAAGUCAACCAGAAAAAAAAAACAGGUCUAAGGUUGAACAUAGAAUGAUAUCCUCAGGUUUUUUUUUUUUCCAAUUAGAAUUCUGUCUAGUUUUGAUUUUUUUUUUCUAAUAUACUGUGACAAAGAAACGAAAAUAUAAAUGCCAUGUCCUCUGUGAAUUUGUCCAGGUUGAUGGUGUCAAAAGAGUCCAUAACACUCAACCUUUAACAGGCGACUGUCUUAAUGGAGGCUUAGCCACCAUGAUUCUAUAUUUAAUUAUGUAAGAUCUUAAAUUGAAUAAACAAAGAUUUGGGUUUAAGUCAGCAAUAUAAAUAAGGGUGUUAAACAGUAAGGUUACUUAUGGCUGCAGACUUUUCCUUGUUGUUACAUUCUAUAUUCUUGUUUUUUAUUUCUUCUUUCUUGAAUAUCAAGCCAACCAACUAGGAGAGAAUAGGCAGUCAAGCCAACCCAUACUUCAUCUGUGCCUGAAUGGAUUUGAUAUCUAAUUAGCCAACUAGUAUCCCUAGAAUGAUUACCUAUAUAUUGUUUUCAACUGAUACAAAACCAGUCUGAAUAACUUUACAUUUUUUAUCAACGAAGCCUUCACUACUAUAUCACAAAGAAAAAUUCUAAAAAGUUUCUACUCUUCAUAUCCUUUGAGGGGACAAUAAAAGGAUUAAUGAUUGCCAGGAAUAAAAGAGAAUUUCUAGAAUUAAAGAUGGACAUUUUUCUAUCUGCUGUAAAAUUACCCAUUCCUUCAUGAGCAUAGCUGUGACCAAGCCACCAUAAAACCAUUGACUAAGGAGAAAAAGAUGUUACAAGAUAAAGGAAGAGAAGUACUUACAAGAAAAGCUCGAGGUUAGAGAAUAAUAUGCUAUGAAGAUAUUUUGAAUUUUUAUGCAGUACUUACAAGAAAAGGUCAGUUGUGCAGAAUGCAUAAUUAGAG